rnacentral:rRNA from 1 species
UACAGAGGUGGCAAGCGUUGUUCGGAAUUACUGGGCGUAAAGGGCGCGUAGGCGGUUCGUUAAGUCCUGUGUGAAAUCCCCCGGCUCAACUGGGGAACUGCACAGGAAACUAGCGGGCUUGAGUUCGGGAGAGGGAAGCGGAAUUCCGGGUGUAGCGGUGAAAUGCGUAGAUAUCCGGAGGAACACCGGUGGCGAUGGCGGCUUCCUGGACCGACACUGACGCUGAGGCGCGAAAGCUAGGGGAGCAAACGGG